UGGGCACGGCACAUGUUGGCAUACAUAUUUCCUCCCUGGGCAUGUGAAGAAUGGUGGCAAGGUGAUGUGAACAAACCCAAUACAAACCCAAGUAUGGCUCUAUGGAUCCAAAACUAAAUGCAUCAAAAUAACUAAUUGACUAAAAAUAAAUAACUGAAGUAGAGUCAAUCUAAUUGGACUUCUUCGAUCCAAAUCGAAUUCAAAUCAAAUCACCGACUUCUGAUGGCUCUAGUGUUUGCACCAGACAGUCAGCCCAUCUUCAAACAGGUUAAGAUAAAUAUUCCUCUAUUAGAUAUGAUCCAACAAGUUUC
rnacentral:lncRNA from 1 species